CCUACGGGAGGCAGCAGUGGGGAAUAUUGCACAAUGGGGGAAACCCUGAUGCAGCGACGCCGCGUGAGUGAAGAAGUAUUUCGGUACGUAAAGCUCUAUCAGCAGGGAAGAAAAUGACGGUACCUGACUAAGAAGCCCCGGCUAACUACGUGCCAGCAGCCGCGGUAAUACGUAGGGGGCAAGCGUUAUCCGGAUUUACUGGGUGUAAAGGGAGCGUAGACGGCAGCGCAAGUCUGGAGUGAAAUCCCAUGGCUUAACCAUGGAACUGCUUUGGAAACUGUGCAGCUAGAGUGCAGGAGAGGUAAGCGGAAUUCCUAGAGUAGCGGUGAAAUGCGUAGAUAUUAGGAGGAACACCAGUGGCGAAGGCGGCUUACUGGACUGUAACUGACGUUGAGGCUCGAAAGCGUGGGGAGCAAACAGGAUUAGAUACCCCUGUAGUC
rnacentral:rRNA from 1 species